rnacentral:lncRNA from 10 species
GCCAGGCUCAGCUUAGCAGAUAGCCGUCCCCUGGGGUUGAGAGGAUCAGAACACAUGUGCAAAUACUGUAGUUUAAAAUUAAUAACUUUGUCUAAGUUUUUCUUCUUGUUCUUGUUCUUUUGUUUUGUUUUGUUUUGAGACAGGGUCUUACUCUGUCACUCAGGCUGAAGUAAAGUGGCACAAUCAUAGCUCACUGCGGCCUUGGACUCCUGGGCUCAAGAGAUUCUCCUGCAUCAGCUUCCUGAGUAAUUGAGACUACAGGCGUGUGCCACCACACCUGGCUAAUAUUUUAUUUAUUUAUUUAUUUUUGUAGAGACGGGGUCUCUCUAUGUUGCUCAGGCUAGUCUUAAAGUCCUGGCCUCAAGUGAUCCUCCCACCUCAGCCUCCCAAAGUGCUGGGAUUGCAGGCAUGAGCCACCACACCUGGCCCCAAAUUCUUCUGGAUUGAGUUUGGGAUUGCGAACUCGAGACCAAAUUUGAAACAGAAGAUCUGCUGACAUCAUCUCCUCCUUCCUGAGGAUUCAAGAGUGUGCUUUGCUGUGCAGUGAGCUCUAAACAAGUCUGAUCUUAUCUGGGAAGGCUCAGGCCCAUCUGAGAACAUGCACGUGGCUUAUUGAGACCUUGGCGCUGAUCAAUAGAAAUAGUGUUCUCAACUGCUGCUGGAAGAUGGGUAAUGUGCCAACAUCAUAACAAGGUUCAAGGGAGGCACAUCUCAUACGAGUGUGAAAAGGCAAUCAUCAUGCUUAUGAACUACAAGAUUAUCCUAUAUAUUCAUUUUCAAUUAUUUUAUCCUCCUCUGCCUCUUGCCCUGGACUAUAUAAGACCUGCAAUAUAAUGUUGAAUAAGGAAGGUGAAAACGAACAUCAUUGCAUCACUCCUGAUAUCAAAGGUGACAAAACUGAGGCUCAGAGGCCAAUGGCCUUGUUCAAGGUCACACGCCCACUAAAUGAGAGACCCGGAGACCUGGCAUCACACGUACCAAAAAUUAAAAGCAAAGAUGCUUAAAUCAACUGCAGUCCUUCUGGGCAGAUGUUCCUAAAUGCAAUCCAUCUAAGAGGAAAGAGUUUUUGAGGGAAGGGUGAUCACUGGGCCUCUACAUGCCACACCCGGAAGGCCCAGCAGUGGGGCAAGGAUAGAACACACAGUUUGGCGAUGUGACCCUGCCUGUCUGCACACCUCAGGAUCCCACCACCCAACAGGCAUACAUCUCCUGGAGCUACAGAGAUGCCAAAUGCCAGAGAAGGGAAGCAGGAAGGGAGAUGAAGACAAGGAACUCUGAAAAAUGGAAGCAGAAACACAGGCUGUAUUUUCCCCUAUCCUUCUUUUCUUUGUUCCCUUUUUUCUCUUUUGAAUGAAAAAUAAAAAUGCAGAAAACCUCAGGA